CUGCUGUUUGGGAGUUGGUUGGGAUAGACCUGACUGGGCCGCUCCCAAAAACCAAGGAUGGCUUUCAGUACAUUCUUACUGCCACCGAUUAUUUUUCCAAACACAGAUGCCCCCAAAGAAUCCUGUCCGACCAAGGAAGAGAAUUUGUCAAUUAGCUCAACGAUAACCUUUGUGCCCUCCUGUGCAUUGAAAGGAGUGUUACAGCUGCAUAUCAUCCUCAGACGAAUGGGCUGGAUGAGAGGACAAGUAGCAACAUAAAACGGCAAGUUUUUUUUUUUUUUGGUGUUCUAAAAUGUAUAUCUAAUUGUACCCUUCUACUUCGUACAGCUCUUACAAAAUUGGUGAACGACCGACAGGAUUUGUUUGGUGGUUUGGCCUAUUCAGUAGAUAAUUUUGACCGGAUGGUCAUCUGGUCAAGUGCCGUAAAUAAUUACUUUUUUUGAUUUAACAAUGUUGUGUUUUCAGUUAAAUUACUGUGGGUUGCAGAGGACCAAGGCAAGGUGGAGGCUGUCGUUGGACCGUAUAA